ACAUGCAUUUGCCUGACGAUUAGUGAUGUUGAUCACCUUUCCAUGUAUCUGUUGGCUACUUGUACAUUUUCUUUGGAGAAAUAUAAAAACUUCAGGUUCCUUUCUCUCCUCAUGCCAAAUUGUUCACAAAAUCUAAACCAAGGAAACAAUGAGAUUUUAAACUGCAUUACAUGUUUUGUGAAACUCUCUUCUCCUCCUUCCCCAAGCUAUCCACUUCUUUGUCUCUAAGGUAGAAUAUACUGAAAAUAAAAUGCAAGGAUGCACUUAAAUUCAUAUAAAUUUUAGCACUGGAAAAAUCUUUGGUUUAAUCCAACUCUGUUACUUUUUUAUUUUAUUAUUUGUCCCAGAUUACCAAGAUAUUUUAUAAUAGAUGUGAAUUACCUGAAAAUUCUCUGACAAGCAUGGAUAAUAAAAACAAAAUGAAAGAAGGCGGAAUGUUUAUUCAUA
rnacentral:lncRNA from 10 species